rnacentral:rRNA from 1 species
GACGAACGCUGGCGGCGUGCUUAACACAUGCAAGUCGAACGGAAAGGCCCUGCUUUUGUGGGGUGCUCGAGUGGCGAACGGGUGAGUAACACGUGAGUAACCUGCCCUUGACUUUGGGAUAACUUCAGGAAACUGGGGCUAAUACCGGAUAGGAGCUCCUGCUGCAUGGUGGGGGUUGGAAAGUUUCGGCGGUUGGUGAUGGACUCGCGGCUUAUCAGCUUGUUGGUGGGGUAGUGGCUUACCAAGGCUUUGACGGGUAGCCGGCCUGAGAGGGUGACCGGCCACAUUGGGACUGAGAUACGGCCCAGACUCCUACGGGAGGCAGCAGUGGGGAAUAUUGCACAAUGGGCGGACGCCUGAUGCAGCAACGCCGCGUGCGGGAUGACGGCCUUCGGGUUGUAAACCGCUUUCGCCUGUGACGAAGCGUGAGUGACGGUAAUGGGUAAAGAAGCACCGGCUAACUACGUG